GAUGAACGCUGGCGGCGUGCCUAAUACAUGCAAGUCGAGCGAACAGACGAGGAGCUUGCUCCUUUGGCGUUAGCGGCGGACGGGUGAGUAACACGUAGGUAACCUACCUAUAAGACUGGGAUAACUUCGGGAAACCGGAGCUAAUACCGGAUAAUAUUUCGAACCGCAUGGUUCGAUAGUGAAAGAUGGCUUUGCUAUCACUUAUAGAUGGACCUGCGCCGUAUUAGCUAGUUGGUAAGGUAACGGCUUACCAAGGCAACGAUACGUAGCCGACCUGAGAGGGUGAUCGGCCACACUGGAACUGAGACACGGUCCAGACUCCUACGGGAGGCAGCAGUAGGGAAUCUUCCGCAAUGGGCGAAAGCCUGACGGAGCAACGCCGCGUGAGUGAUGAGGGUCUUCGGAUCGUAAAACUCUGUUAUUAGGGAAGAACAAACGUGUAAGUAACUGUGCACGUCUUGACGGUACCUAAUCAGAAAGCCACGGCUAACUACGUG
rnacentral:rRNA from 1 species